GGGAGUACGGUCGCAAGAUUAAACUCAAAGGAUUGACGGGACCCGCACAAGCGGUGGAUGAUGUGGAUUAAUUGAUGCAACGCGAAAACCUUACCUACCCUUGACAUGCCACUAACGAAGUAGAGAUACAUUAGGUGCCCGUAAGGGAAAGUGGACACAGGUGCUGCAUGGCUGUCGUCAGCUCGUGUCGUGAGAUGUUGGGUUAAGUCCCGCAACGAGCGCAACCCUUGUCUUUAGUUGCUACGCAAGAGCACUCUAAAGAGACUGCCGGUGACAAACCGGAGGAAGGUGGGGAUGACGUCAAGUCCUCAUGGCCCUUAUGGGUAGGGCUUCACACGUCAUACAAUGGUGCAUACAGAGGGUUGCCAACCCGCGAGGGGGAGCUAAUCUCAGAAAAUGCAUCGUAGUCCGGAUCGUAGUCUGCAACUCGACUACGUGAAGCUGGAAUCGCUAGUAAUCGCGGAUCAGAAUGUCGCGGUGAAUACGUUCCCGGGUCUUGUACACGCCGCCCGUCACACCAUGGGAGUGGGUUUUGCCAGAAGCCGUUAGCCUAACCGCAAGGAGGGCGACGACCACGGCAGGGUUCAUGACUGGGGUGAAGUCGUAACAAGGUAACCGUAAAGACUGGAGAUCUG
rnacentral:rRNA from 1 species